CCUACGGGGGACAGCAGUAGGGAAUCUUCCACAAUGGGCGAAAGCCUGAUGGAGCAACGCCGCGUGGGUGAAGAAGGUCUUCGGAUCGUACAACCCUGUUGUUAGAGAAGAAAGUGCGUGAGAGUAACUGUUCACGUUUCGACGGUAUCUAACCAGAAAGCCACGGCUCACUACGUGCCAGCAGCCGCGGUAAUACGUAGGUGGCAAGCGUUCUCCGGAUUUCUUGGGCGUAAAGGGAACGCAGGCGGUCUUUUAAGUCUGAUGUGAACGCCGUCGGCUUAACCGGAGUAGUGCAUUGGAAACUGGGAGACUUGAGUGCAGAAGAGGAGAGUGGAACGCCAUGUGUAGCGGUGAAAUGCGUAGAUAUAUGGAAGAACACCAGUGGCGAAAGCGGUUCUCUGGACUGUAACUGACGCUGAGGUUCGAAAGCGUGGGUAGCAAACAGGAUUAGAUACCCGUGUAGUC
rnacentral:rRNA from 1 species